UCGCACUUACUGUCUUUCAUUUAUGGUUUCGGGGAAAUGAAGCUCUCACAGAGAGCGGAAGAAACGGAGAGACAGACAGAGAGACAGACAGAGAGAGAAAGAGAGAGAGAGAGACAGAGAGAGAGAGAGAUUUCGAGGGGAAGACAGCGCAGGGAGAGGUAUGGCUGAUGGAUUUCAGAAGUGGGAAAGUGGGUGAUAUCUUCUCGGUUUUGACUGAGUUCGAGGGUUGUUGUGUGCUGUCCUUCGAUGAGGGUUUCGGGGGGAUGGAGACUGUGACAGAGAGCGGAAGAAAGAGAGAGAGAGAGAUAGAGAGAGAGAGAGAUGACGAUGGAAGAAGAGCGAAGGGGAAAGGUAUGAGUCGUCGAUUUCAGAAGUGGGGAUACGGAUUAUCCGGAUCUACCGCUGCAUGCCUGGAUUUCGAAAGAUAAGUGCUUUAAAAUUUUUUUUUUUCUAUCAGCUUAGAUCUGCCUGUUUGUUGUGGAUUAUUUUCGAAUUUUUUAGUGUAUUAGGUCAGAUUUUGGGGGAAUCAUCAGAGAUAUUUAUUUCCCUUAUAAGUUUUCUUUUCUCUCAUUUUGCACAUUGAUCUCUCUGUCUGCGCAUUUGUUCACAGAGAGCGGAAGAAACCGAGAGACAGAGAGACAGACAGAGAGAGAAAGAGAGACAGAGAGAGGCAGAGAGAGAGAGAUGUCGACGGGAAGACAGCAGGGAGAGGUAUGGCUGUUGUCUGCAGUUUCAUUUGCUGUCCUUCAAGGAGGGUUUCGGGGGGAUGGACUGUGACAGAGAGCGGAGAAAUUAAGCUCUCACAGAGAGCGGAAGAAACGGAGAGACAGAGAGACAGAGAGAGAGAGAAAGAGAGAGAGAGAGACAGAGAGAGAGAGAUGCCGAGGGGAAGACAGCAGGGAGAGGUAUGGCUGUUGUCUGCAAUUUCAUUUGCUGUCCUUCAAGGAGGGUUUGGGGGGAUGGACUGUGACAGAGAGCGGAAGAGAGAGAGAGAGAGAGAGAGAGAGAGAGACAGAGAUGACGAUGGAAAGAGAACGAAGAGGAAAGGGGAAGCUACAUGCCUGAAUUUCGAAAGCUAAGUGCUUUUAAAAUUUUUUUUUUUCCUAUCAGCUUAGAUCUGGUUUUUUGUUGUGGAUUAUUUUCGAAUUUUUUAGUGUGUUAGGUCAGAUUUUAGUGGAAUCAUCAGAGAUAUUUAUUUCCCUUAUUAGUUUUCUUUUCUCUCAUUUUGCACAUUGAUCUCUCUGUCUGCCUGUUUGUUCUCUCACAAUUCCCUGCUUCUGUCGCUCUUGAACCUCGAUUCCUUUCGCUCUCCAAGGCUACCUUCUCUCCCUCUUCCACCGUGCGAUCUUUGUCUCACAAGUUACCAACCACACUUUCUUGCUAAAAAACCUUCACUGCUUUCUCUGUUGCUAGAGGUUGCUUUCUCUUCUGCUCUCGCAGGGCCUUCAGUUCUCACUUAGAUUCCAGAGUAGAAGCCCAGAAAGCUAAUAUGGCAAAGCGAGAGCUUUCCAGCACUCUCAGGAACUUAAAAGUUUAUGCAAAGAGCAACUUAGAAAGAGGUGAAGAAAGAAGAAGAUGUCAAACCAUACCUUAUCACCUCAGAAUUUUACGUUUAAUAACCAAGUGGAUUACUUUACUUGGUUGGACCUGUUUUUAUAGCUAUAUUUCAACCUUUCCUCUGAUAGCUUUUAACGAUUGGAUUUCUCGAGUCUACUUUCCAUGCUUUGACCAUUUCAUUUGGCUGAGGGUUCUGGGUUUUGGAGAAUUCUUCAUUAAAUUGAAUUUUUUGUGAUUAAAUUUCUGGCUUAAGUAGCGGUUUUUGAGGUUGUGGUCUCCAAAAAAAAGUUGAUGCAGGUUUCCUUUCUAUGAACCUGAUUUUGGAUGGGGAAAGCCACCAUGGGUGACUUCAGGUACGGAGUUCAAGAAUCUGAUUGUGUUAAUGGAUACACGAGAUGGAGAUGGCAUAGAAGUAUCCUUGAAUCUCAAGGAAGAAGACCUGGCCAUAUUUGAAAGCACUAAGGAGCUGCUUGAGGUGCUAAUGUGCCUCCACCAUUCAAUUCAUUUGAAUCUACUGGUCUCCCAUAUGAGAUUCAGAGGUUUUGAGCUUCCACAAAUUUCAAGGCGUUCAAACUUUACUCUCGAAUGAAAUGGAUCAAUUUGUUUGCAGCUUGAAGAUUUUUACUUUCACCAAGUUUAUCUUCAACUCCAGGCUUUGAAAUACAAUGUUGUUCUAGGCUGUCAUCUAGAUUCCCAAUCACAUGUUUCCACGGCGGUUUCAAAGAGGUCCUUGAGACGAUCAGAUGCUGUACUCAGCUGCCACCAUUAUAAUAAGGUAAGACCGAGCGUCAUUCUCUUGGUCACUAGAUGCCUUGAGAAUUUAUAGUCACUCACCCAACUUGGGAUUUGAGUAAUCAUGAAUAACUCGAUUUUGUGUUACUAUGUGAUGCGGUGGUGAGAGGACUUUGGUAUGGGAGGGAGGACUAGAGAGAGAUGUUUAGAUUUGAGAAGGGUAAUUGGUAUUGAAAAUUGAGAUGCCUAUAUACCAUGGCAGGGUCGGUUCCAGCUUUUUCUUUUCCUUGGUAAUUACUAUAAAUACAAAUGGAUGGUGCAUACAAAUUACUAUAACUUCAAGAAAAAACAAAACAGACCCAGAUACCAAUUCACUUCAGUCCUCAAACAUCUCGAUCCAUUCCAGCUUUUUCUCUUCCUUGCAUGGAGAGCUGUACAAGGCACUUUCUGCAAUUUAUUGCAAAAUAAUGUCAGUUAUCCCUUCUUUGGAUACAACUCAAACUGGGAGCAAGUCUGGUAUCCAAGCUUUACGUUCGUUGCAUGUAGCACAUGAAAAGUCUAAGAAUGUAGUAAGCUUUAUUUGGCAGGUAUUCCCUCAAUAGUUAAGGAAACAAUUAUUUUCCCCUUUCUGCUUUGAAGGAAUAGAAUUCUCUUUAGAUGUUUAAAUUUGUUUCAUUCAUGAUGAGGUUGUGUAUAAAUUGCAUUUGCAUUUGUAACUCAGUUUUUGACUCGAACAUUGUUUAUAAAGAUUGCAGGUGCAUAAUUUUUCAUAUAA